GAUGAACGCUGGCGGCGUGCCUAACACAUGCAAGUCGAACGAAGCACCUUACCUGAUUCUUCGGAUGAAAGUUUGGUGACUGAGUGGCGGACGGGUGAGUAACGCGUGGGUAACCUGCCCUGUACAGGGGGAUAACAGCUGGAAACGGCUGCUAAUACCGCAUAAGCGCACGAGGAGACAUCUCCUUGUGUGAAAAACUCCGGUGGUACAGGAUGGGCCCGCGUCUGAUUAGCUGGUUGGCAGGGUAACGGCCUACCAAGGCAACGAUCAGUAGCCGGUCUGAGAGGAUGAACGGCCACAUUGGAACUGAGACACGGUCCAAACUCCUACGGGAGGCAGCAGUGGGGAAUAUUGCACAAUGGGGGAAACCCUGAUGCAGCAACGCCGCGUGAGUGAAGAAGUAUUUCGGGAUGUAAAGCUCUAUCAGCAGGGAAGAUAAUGACGGUACCUGACUAAGAAGCUCCGGCUAAAUACGUG
rnacentral:rRNA from 1 species